AAUAUUCAAAGGUCAAUGUGUUUCAUAAGAUUUGUGGGGGCGGGAUUAUCGUCAUUAACUAAUUACUUGAUGUCAUAUUUCAAUGGGGAGUGGUGUAAUGCCCGCACGACUGUUGACUUUCAUUGUAAUUGCUUGAGCUGGUUCCUGGGCCGCCUCAGACAGCAAGAUGGUGUGUCAAGUAUCAUGGCCUGACAGGAAGGCUUUCCGGUUAUGACUGAGGCCAGCAUCUCACGUGUCCUGGCUACGCCAAAUCACUGCGGAUGCCGGAUGCCGAGGACCGGAGAGCCAACCGCUUUGAGGCGUGAGCUCUGUGGCGUGGCUCGAGUGACCACCAGCUUCUGACGGCUACGGCGCCGUCGACCUGGUUGAAUAGCUGGGGCCUGGACGAUGGUGCCCUUAGUACGGUGACCAAUCGGUUACGUCCGAGGGGCGUUCGAACACGCUGCCGUCGCGUGGCUGCCGGCGGCCGCCCCCUCGCACGUGAAUCUCCUGGAGCGAGGACUGCGAGAGGCGGCCGCAUCAUCACCUGUGUCCGCGCUUAACACCGUGCCACGCACUAAUGGCGGAAGCCCGACUUACUCCUAUGGAGGAGCGAAGCUGGACGCUGGCUGCCAGGCUGCUGGGGAGGGCGCUGGGUCUGCCAUCAGGGGACCCCCUGCGCGCGACCGCCGAGGCCUCGACACCGGCGCGCCUGUCUUCGGUCCGAGGCUGGAGAUUGCGAGGCCGCCAGGCCUGGGCGAGAGCGAGAAUCCCACCGUGGCAACAGACGGCUGGCGGCAUUUUCCGGUUGGACGUGUGCCCGAUACGGGCUGGGGCCACGGCGGCGGAAAGGGAAAGCGUGGCUACGCUUCACCUCGCGUUCCUGCCCCUGUGUGCUGUCCGGCUUUGGACGGACGGAUCUGCGGAGGGCGGAGUCUUCAGGCGCUGGGCGGGAGCCGUGCUGGUCUGACUGGACGAAGAGGCCGAGGAACUGCGGGCCCCGGCCGGAGAGCUGUGCUAUAGCUACCGCGCGGAGAUGGUGGCGCUGUUGACCGGUCCGGAGACCCUACUCGGAAGAGACAGAGACCAGGACCUGCGGUCCGUACCUAUCUGCUAACUGUGCGGUGGUGCUGGUGUAGUGCAGCAUCUUUGGAUGGAUAGCUACAUUUCACGAUUGAAUAGCUGUUACGUUUCUGACAUUGUUCUGACAUUGACAUUUUUCUUUCUUUCGUUUGAUAAUGGUCUGUUGGCCGAAAUAUCACGUAAAUAAAAAGGUAACUUUGCAUUAAUUUUGCUAUAGACUCGAGAAAUAAGGUCAAUGUUUUUCUUUCAUAUAACUGUAUCAAUCAUGUUCCUCGCCAGAGCACUGGCAAACAUUAAUGCUGUUACGUUUCAGUGCAGGCGGCGUGACGAACAAUGUGGUAGUUAUCUGUUGGCCACUUCUGCGGCCGCUGCUAUUUCCUACUCGAAGGCGGGCGCGCUGUUUGGCUGGGCCGGCAGGAUGUUCCCAUUACCUAUUUGUCGACGACAAAGCGAGUAUAUUCAUGUUCUUUUAAUGCACAGUGGUCUGUUGUAUAUUUGAAGUUUUAUUUUAGGUUCACGAUUGCGAAGGGCAGAUUCAUCUUCUCUCUUUCAUUUUUGUUGCCACUUUAGCGUUCAUGUUUGUUAUAAGUGUCCUGGUCCGGCUUGAUUGUCAUCUUUAUUCGUGGUAUAUUUUAUUUUACGAACAUGCUGGUGAUCAAUGCAAUACACUUUUGGUUAAUAAUGCUGCUUUAGCUCUGAUCCUUUGUGGGAUGUCUUGAUUGUACUACUGCGAUAGUGAUUUUUCCUCACCAAAAUAUGCAGGCAACAAAUGUAAAUGCUGCCAAAUGUUUGUCAUUGCGUGAUGUAUCUAAAAGACAUCAAGUUCCUG
rnacentral:lncRNA from 1 species